CAGGCUGUGAUGAUUGGCGCAGGGGUACGGACCUCAGCUGAGUCAUGGGAGCUGAAUGUAUGUGUUUUGCCAUUGUCUUGCAUGUGGCAGACAGAUGGUGUUCACAUAUAUGAGACUGUUGCCUUAAUCUGAGCCUG
ensembl:snoRNA Snord94 small nucleolar RNA SNORD94